rnacentral:rRNA from 1 species
UGGGGAAUAUUGCACAAUGGGCGCAAGCCUGAUGCAGCCAUGCCGCGUGUAUGAAGAAGGCCUUCGGGUUGUAAAGUACUUUCAGUGGGGAGGAAGGUGUUGAGGCUAAUAACCUCAGCAAUUGACGUUACCCGCAGAAGAAGCACCGGCUAACUCCGUGCCAGCAGCCGCGGUAAUACGGAGGGUGCAAGCGUUAAUCGGAAUUACUGGGCGUAAAGCGCACGCAGGCGGUCUGUCAAGUCGGAUGUGAAAUCCCCGGGCUCAACCUGGGAACUGCAUUCGAAACUGGCAGGCUAGAGUCUUGUAGAGGGGGGUAGAAUUCCAGGUGUAGCGGUGAAAUGCGUAGAGAUCUGGAGGAAUACCGGUGGCGAAGGCGGCCCCCUGGACAAAGACUGACGCUCAGGUGCGAAAGCGUGGGGAGCAAACA